rnacentral:pre_miRNA from 1 species
GUGUGACAUGGCAGUCGCCAUGGCCUUCCCCAGGACAUGGCCUGUACUCUCACACUA